AACAAUCGAAACCGCAUGGUUUUGAUUUGAAAGGCGCUUUCGGGUGUCGCUGAUGGAUGGACCCGCGGUGCAUUAGCUAGUUGGUGAGGUAACGGCUCACCAAGGCGACGAUGCAUAGCCGACCUGAGAGGGUGAUCGGCCACAUUGGGACUGAGACACGGCCCAAACUCCUACGGGAGGCAGCAGUAGGGAAUCUUCGGCAAUGGACGAAAGUCUGACCGAGCAACGCCGCGUGAGUGAAGAAGGUUUUCGGAUCGUAAAACUCUGUUGUUAGAGAAGAACAAGGAUGAGAGUAACUGUUCAUCCCUUGACGGUAUCUAACCAGAAAGCCACGGCUAACUACGUGCCAGCAGCCGCGGUAAUACGUAGGUGGCAAGCGUUGUCCGGAUUUAUUGGGCGUAAAGCGAGCGCAGGCGGUUUCUUAAGUCUGAUGUGAAAGCCCCCGGCUCAACCGGGGAGGGUCAUUGGAAACUGGGAGACUUGAGUGCAGAAGAGGAGAGUGGAAUUCCAUGUGUAGCGGUGAAAUGCGUAGAUAUAUGGAGGAACACCAGUGGCGAAGGCGGCUCUCUGGUCUGUAACUGACGCUGAGGCUCGAAAGCGUGGGGAGCAAACAGGAUUAGAUACCCUGGUAGUCCACGCCGUAAACGAUGAGUGCUAAGUGUUGGAGGGUUUCCGCCCUUCAGUGCUGCAGCUAACGCAUUAAGCACUCCGCCUGGGGAGUACGACCGCAAGGUUGAAACUCAAAGGAAUUGACGGGGGCCCGCACAAGCGGUGGAGCAUGUGGUUUAAUUCGAAGCAACGCGAAGAACCUUACCAGGUCUUGACAUCCUUUGACCACUCUAGAGAUAGAGCUUCCCCUUCGGGGGCAAAGUGACAGGUGGUGCAUGGUUGUCGUCAGCUCGUGUCGUGAGAUGUUGGGUUAAGUCCCGCAACGAGCGCAACCCUUAUUGUUAGUUGCCAUCAUUUAGUUGGGCACUCUAGCAAGACUGCCGGUGACAAACCGGAGGAAGGUGGGGAUGACGUCAAAUCAUCAUGCCCCUUAUGACCUGGGCUACACACGUGCUACAAUGGGAAGUACAACGAGUCGCAAAGUCGCGAGGCUAAGCUAAUCUCUUAAAGCUUCUCUCAGUUCGGAUUGUAGGCUGCAACUCGCCUACAUGAAGCCGGAAUCGCUAGUAAUCGCGGAUCAGCACGCCGCGGUGAAUACGUUCCCGGGCCUUGUACACACCGCCCGUCACACCACGAGAGUUUGUAACACCCGAAGUCGGUGAGGUAACCUUUUGGAGCCAGCCGCCUAAGGUGGGAUAGAUGAUUGGG
rnacentral:rRNA from 1 species